GAGUGGCGAACGGGUGAGUAACACGUGGGUAACCUGCCCAGAAGUAGGGGAUAACACCUGGAAACAGAUGCUAAUACCGUAUAACAGAGAAAACCGCAUGGUUUUCUUUUAAAGAUGGCUCUGCUAUCACUUCUGGAUGGACCCGCGGCGUAUUAGCUAGUUGGUGAGGUAAAGGCUCACCAAGGCAGUGAUACGUAGCCGACCUGAGAGGGUAAUCGGCCACAUUGGGACUGAGACACGGCCCAGACUCCUACGGGAGGCAGCAGUAGGGAAUCUUCCACAAUGGACGCAAGUCUGAUGGAGCAACGCCGCGUGAGUGAAGAAGGGUUUCGGCUCGUAAAGCUCUGUUGUUAAAGAAGAACGUGGGUAAGAGUAACUGUUUACCCAGUGACGGUAUUUAACCAGAAAGCCACGGCUAACUACGUGCCAGCAGCCGCGGUAAUACGUAGGUGGCAAGCGUUAUCCGGAUUUAUUGGGCGUAAAGCGAGCGCAGGCGGUCUUUUAAGUCUAAUGUGAAAGCCUUCGGCUCAACCGAAGAAGUGCAUUGGAAACUGGGAGACUUGAGUGCAGAAGAGGACAGUGGAACUCCAUGUGUAGCGGUGAAAUGCGUAGAUAUAUGGAAGAACACCAGUGGCGAAGGCGGCUGUCUGGUCUGCAACUGACGCUGAGGCUCGAAAGCAUGGGUAGCGAACAGGAUUAGAUACCCUGGUAGUCCAUGCCGUAAACGAUGAUUACUAAGUGUUGGAGGGUUUCCGCCCCUUCAGUGCUGCAGCUAACGCAUUAAGUAAUCCGCCUGGGGAGUACGACCGCAAGGUUGAAACUCAAAAGAAUUGACGGGGGCCCGCACAAGCGGUGGAGCAUGUGGUUUAAUUCGAAGCUACGCGAAGAACCUUACCAGGUCUUGACAUCUUCUGACAGUCUAAGAGAUUAGAGGUUCCCUUCGGGGACAGAAUGACAGGUGGUGCAUGGUUGUCGUCAGCUCGUGUCGUGAGAUGUUGGGUUAAGUCCCGCAACGAGCGCAACCCUUAUUACUAGUUGCCAGCAUUAAGUUGGGCACUCUAGUGAGACUGCCGGUGACAAACCGGAGGAAGGUGGGGACGACGUCAAAUCAUCAUGCCCCUUAUGACCUGGGCUACACACGUGCUACAAUGGAUGGUACAACGAGUCGCGAGACCGCGAGGUUAAGCUAAUCUCUUAAAACCAUUCUCAGUUCGGACUGUAGGCUGCAACUCGCCUACACGAAGUCGGAAUCGCUAGUAAUCGCGGAUCAGCAUGCCGCGGUGAAUACGUUCCCGGGCCUGUACACACCGCCCGUCACACCAUGAGAGUUUGUAACACCCAAAGCCGGUGGGGUAACCUUUUAGGAGCUAGCCGUCUAAGG
rnacentral:rRNA from 1 species